CCUACGGGAGGCAGCAGUGAGGAAUAUUGGUCAAUGGACGAGAGUCUGAACCAGCCAAGUAGCGUGAAGGAUGACUGCCCUAUGGGUUGUAAACUUCUUUUAUAUGGGACUAAAAUGUUCCACGUGUGGGAUUUUGUAUGUACCAUAUGAAUAAGGAUCGGCUAACUCCGUGCCAGCAGCCGCGGUAAUACGGAGGAUCCGAGCGUUAUCCGGAUUUAUUGGGUUUAAAGGGAGCGUAGGUGGAUUGUUAAGUCAGUUGUGAAAGUUUGCGGCUCAACCGUAAAAUUGCAGUUGAAACUGGCAGUCUGGAGUACAGUAGAGGUGGGCGGAAUUCGUGGUGUAGCGGUGAAAUGCUUAGAUAUCACGAAGAACGCCGAUUGCGAAGGCAGCUCACUGGACUGCAACUGACACUGAGGCUCGAAAGUGUGGGUAUCAAACAGGAUUAGAUACCCCAGUAGUC
rnacentral:rRNA from 1 species